rnacentral:misc_RNA from 1 species
GAUGAAGAACGUAGCAAAAUGCGAUAAGUAAUGUGAAUUGCAGAAUUCAGUGAAUCAUCGAAUCUUUGAACGCACAUUGCGCCCGCCAGUAUUCUGGCGGGCAUGCCUGUUCGAGCGUCAUUUCAACCCUCAAGCUCAGCUUGGUGUUGGGACUCGCGGUAACCCGCGUUCCCCAAAUCGAUUGGCGGUCACGUCGAGCUUCCAUAGCGUAGUAAUCAUACACCUCGUUACUGGCAAUCGUCGCGGCCACGCCGUAAAACCCCAACUUCUGAAUGUUGACCUCGGAUCAGGUAGGAAUACCCGCUGAACUUAAGCAUAUCAAUAAGCGGAGGA